AUAUGACUUUACAUCAACAAGAAAAAUGUAAACGCAGCAGGAGCAGUUACAGCUUUGCUAGAAGAAGAAGCAUUUUCUCUAAUAGAAACAGUAAAUAUUAGCAAAUAGAAGGCAAAGGUGCAGAAUGUUUACAGCAUUACAGUUGAGCUAAAUUCGAAAUAACAAGGUUUGAUUCUUCUAUGCCCCGUCUGGCUGAACAAAAGGAUUGGAUAUCUCGUCUGUACCAUCAGUUGGAGCCACGAGCAUUACUGCAGUACCCCUACAGACUAUUAAGCCAAGACUUCGUUUCUGAUCAGUAGUCUUCAGGGGAUCAUCAGCAUCUCUAAGGUGCUCCACGGCUUCAUCUAAGACAAGAUUAAGCAGCUGGUCAUAGCCUUUAAGUGUUCCAACCACUUGUCUUCCACCAGUAAGCUUGACUUGCACACCCUUGUCAACAAAUUUUGCCAAAUCUAAAACUGUUUCUUUCCUGCCAGACAUUUCUUCUGUUUGUCUAAAGAGCUUUCUUUAUCCAACUAAUGGAGAAAAAUUGCUACAACAAGGUGGAUAUAUCCUAGAUAGAACGAGAAUUCCGACGGGAAUUACUGAACUGUCGGAGCACCACCGGCAACAACCGUAUCAACGGCGACGGAGAGAAGAAACCCUAAUUUCUACUGGGAUCCCUAAUUCAGCAGGAACACUGGCAGCUAUAAUCAGCACAAUUGGAACAGGGUUCUUUGUACAGUG
rnacentral:misc_RNA from 1 species